rnacentral:rRNA from 1 species
GGAUUAGGCAUGCAAGUCGAACGAGGAUAUAUCCUUCGGGAUAUAAGCCGAGUGGCACAAGGGUGAGCAAUGCAUAGAUUACCUACCUUUAGGAUAAGAACAACUUUGUGAAAACGGAGCUAAUACUUAAUAAUACAGAAGAAAAUAAUUUUCUUUUGUCAAAGGGAGGGUAGCAAUACCUUUCGCCUAGAGAGGGGUUUAUGUCCUAUCAGCUUGUUGGUGGGGUAAUAGCCUACCAAGGCGAAGACGGGUAGCCGGUUUAAGAGGAUGGUCGGCCACACUGGGACUGAGACACUGCCCAGACUUCUACGGAAGGCUGCAGUCGAGAAUCUUUCGCAAUGCCCGAAAGGGUGACGAAGCGACGCCGCGUGGGUGAAGAAGGCCUUCGGGUUGUAAAGCCCUGUCAGGAGUUAUGAAAUGUAAGUGCGCUAAUAUCGUGCUUAUUUGACAAAGGCUCCAAAGGAAGUCACGGCUAACUCUGUGCCAGCAGCCGCGGUAAUACAGAGGUGGCGAGCGUUGUUCGGAAUUAUUGGGCGUAAAGAGCACGUAGGUGGGUUUGCAAGUCAGAUGUGAAAGCCUUCUGUUCAACGGGAGAAUUGCAUCUGAAACUGCUAAUCUUGAGUAUAGGAGGGGAGAAUGGAACUUCUGGUGGAGCGGUGAAAUGCGUAGAUAUCAGAAGGAACGCCGGCGGCGAAAGCGAUUCUCUGGCCUAUUACUGACACUCAGUGUGCGAAAGCUAGGGGAGCAAACGGGAUUAGAUACCCCGGUAGUCCUAGCCGUAAACGAUGGGCACUAAGUAGAGGGGAUUACCUAUGUUCUCUCUGCCGUAGCUAACGCAUUAAGUGCCCCGCCUGGGGAGUACGGCCGCAAGGCUAAAACUCAAAAGAAUUGACGGGGGCUCGCACAAGCGGUGGAGCAUGCGGCUUAAUUCGAUGCAACGCGAAAAACCUUACCGGGGCUUGACAUGAUAGAAGUAGGAACCUGAAAGGGGGACGAACGGUAUCCAGUCCGUAGCUAUUACAGGUGUUGCAUGGCUGUCGUCAGCUCGUGUCGUGAGACGUUGGGUUAAGUCCCCUAACGAGCGAAACCCUUGUUUUUAGUUACCAGCGGGUUAUGCCGGGUACUCUAGAAAGACUGCCGUCGUCAAGACGGAGGAAGGUGGGGAUGACGUCAAGUCAUCAUGGCCCUUAUGCCCCGGGCUGCACACGUGCUACAAUGGUCGGUACAGACGGAAGCGAAGCCGAGAGGUGAAGCGAAUCCUAAAAAGCCGAUCUUAGUUCGGAUUGGAGGGCUGAAAUUCGCCUCCAUGAAAGUUGGAAUCGCUAGUAAUCGCGGAUCAGCAGUGUCGCGGUGAAUAUGUUCCCGAGCCUUGUACACACCGCCCGUCAAGCCACCCAAGCAGGAUGCACCCGAAAACAUUAUAYCUWRCYMRGGCAACUUGGAGGAAAAUGUUGAAGGAGUGUUUUGCGAGGAGGACUAAGUCGUAACAAGGUAGUCGUAGGAGAACCUGCGGCUGGAUCACCUCCUUUCUAAGGAGUAAAUCAAAGUAGGUACAUCCGACGUCUUUUAUGUUGUUAUUUGUUUUUUGAGUGUUUGGGGGUGCUGAACCGACUAAUAAGUAUGCUAUAAGUUAUUUUAAAAAUAAGUUGGAAAGAGGUCUAGGGCCUAUAGCUCAGUUGGUUUAGAGCGUUCCCCUGAUAAGGGAAAGGUCAGUGGUUCGAAUCCACUUAGGCCCACCAUCCUCAGAUUUAUUUAUAAUAGUAAAGUGAAUUGAUGAAUUUAUCUGGGGGUGUAGCUCAACUGGGAGAGCGCGGCCCUUGCAAGGCCGAGGUUAGCGGUUCGAUCCCGCUCAUCUCCAUAUUUUUUAUUAAUAAAGAUAGGAUAGUAGGUAGUUCUUUGCUGUAUUCAUGUAAAGAAGUAAAUGAAUAGCAUUAAUCGUUCUUUGGCAAUAAAAGCAAUUUUGAAACGGUGUAACUACAAUUAGAAAUUUGGGUGAUCAAGCUACUAAGGGUACAUGGUGGAUGUCUUGGUACCAAAAGCUGAUGAAGGACGUGGCGGGCUGCGAUAAGCUUCGGGGAGCUGCCAAACAAGCUUUGAUCCGGAGAAUUCCGAAUUGGGAAACCUGUCGUAGGAAACAUAUUGUGUUUCUUUUGGUUCAUACCGCGACAUUAUUUACUUGAAUAAAUAGGGUAAUAAGAGGAACGAAGGGAACUGAAACAUCUAAGACCUCAGAGAA